UAGAGGGCGAGGCCGAAGAGCACAAAACCCACGCUGAGCCCCAUUGCCCCGGCCAGGUACACCGGCACUAGAACCAGCAGCCGCCGCCCGAACGAGCUCAGCACCGCCAAGGCCUCGCCCGCCGCUCCUGGGCCGGCAGAGACGAAGGUGGAGUCUAAAGCUCGGAACCCCGCCCCGUUCCGCGAGGAGGGGGAAAGGGCUCGGGAGAAGCAGGACCUUGCCGAUUGGACCUGAGUGCCAAGAUGGGCGGCCCGGGAUGGCGGGAAAAGGAGGUAAAGGCUAAAGACUAGCAUGUGAUUAGUUAGAAACAGGAGGAGGCGUGGCUACCAUUUAAAGAGGAGAGGCGGGACCAGGAGUUCCCCACGUGGGAUUGGCGUGCCUGUGGUAUGACGUCAUGCGGAGCGCUCCGCUAAUUACUCGGCUUUAGAGUUUGCAGAACUGUAUAAAGGACAAUUUUCUAUCUAUGUUCUCCAUAUCCUGAGAUGAGCAGGUAUAAAAGGAGUUCAAGGGGUUAUUAUUUCUGAUUCCUUGGAGGAGGUAAGAAUGAUUUGUCUGCCCACCAGCUGAUGAAACAGAACCAUAGCAGGAAAAUGUAUGAACAUCCUUAGAGGAAAACCUAAUAAAACUAAAAUGUGCCAAAUACUGGAGUAGAGGGAAGGAGUCCCUUAGGCUGGGGGAUGAAGAGGGUGACUUAUGGAAGUUCCUUUCCAAACUUUUCCCCUUUCUCAUCCUAUCCAGAUCAGACCCUCCUACUGAAGACAGUAUGUGGAAGACAAAAGCUCAUCCUCAGGAAGGUCUCUUCGCAACUGGCACCCAGGAACCACAGAAUCAGCAGCUGCAAUGCAGGCACCAGAACGAGUAA